rnacentral:rRNA from 1 species
GACGUUAGCGGCGGACGGGUGAGUAACACGUGGGUAACCUACCUAUAAGACUGGGACAACUUCGGGAAACCGGAGCUAAUACCGGAUAAUAUGUUGAACCGCAUGGUUCAAUAGUGAAAGAUGGUUUUGCUAUCACUUAUAGAUGGACCCGCGCCGUAUUAGCUAGUUGGUGAGGUAACGGCUCACCAAGGCAACGAUACGUAGCCGACCUGAGAGGGUGAUCGGCCACACUGGAACUGAGACACGGUCCAGACUCCUACGGGAGGCAGCAGUAGGGAAUCUUCCGCAAUGGGCGAAAGCCUGACGGAGCAACGCCGCGUGAGUGAUGAAGGUCUUAGGAUCGUAAAACUCUGUUAUUAGGGAAGAACAAACGUGUAAGUAACUGUGCACGUCUUGACGGUACCUAAUCAGAAAGCCACGGCUAACUACGUGCCAGCAGCCGCGGUAAUACGUAGGUGGCAAGCGUUAUCCGGAAUUAUUGGGCGUAAAGCGCGCGUAGGCGGUUUUUUAAGUCUGAUGUGAAAGCCCACGGCUCAACCGUGGAGGGUCAUUGGAAACUGGAAAACUUGAGUGCAGAAGAGGAAAGUGGAAUUCCAUGUGUAGCGGUGAAAUGCGCAGAGAUAUGGAGGAACACCAGUGGCGAAGGCGACUUUCUGGUCUGUAACUGACGCUGAUGUGCGAAAGCGUGGGGAUCAAACAGGAUUAGAUACCCUGGUAGUCCACGCCGUAAACGAUGAGUGCUAAGUGUUAGGGGGUUUCCGCCCCUUAGUGCUGCAGCUAACGCAUUAAGCACUCCGCCUGGGGAGUACGACCGCAGG